rnacentral:rRNA from 1 species
GAUACGGGACUCAUCCGAGGCCCCGUAAUCGGAAUGAGUACACUUUAAAUCUUUUAACAAGGAUCCAUUGGAGGGCAAGUCUGGUGCCAGCAGCCGCGGUAAUUCCAGCUCCAAUAGCGUAUAUUAAAGUUGUUGCGGUUAAAAAGCUCGUAGUUGAAUCUGUGUGCCACGCUGUCGGUUCACCGCUCGCGGUGUUUAACUGGCAUGAUUGUGGGACGUCCUGCCGGUGGGCUUAGCUUUGGUAAAACAGAGCGGUCCAACUAAUAUCCCAUCGCGGUGCUCUUCAUUGAGUGUCGAGAUGGGCCGGUACGUUUACUUUGAACAAAUUAGAGUGCUUAAAGCAGGCUUGUUUUGCCUGAAUAUUGUGUGCAUGGAAUAAUAGAAUAGGACCUCGGUCUUAUUUUGUUGGUUUUCGGGACUCCGAGGUAAUGAUUAAUAGGGACAGAUGGGGGCAUUCGUAUUGCGACGUUAGAGGUGAAAUUCUUGGAUCGUCGCAAGACGGACAGAAGCGAAAGCAUUUGCCAAAAAUGUUUUCAUUAAUCAAGAACGAAAGUUAGAGGUUCGAAGGCGAUCAGAUACCGCCCUAGUUCUAACCAUAAACGAUGCCAGCUAGCGAUCCGCCGAAGUUCCUCCGAUGACUCGGCGGGCAGCUUCCGGGAAACCAAAGCUUUUGGGUUCCGGGGGAAGUAUGGUUGCAAAGCUGAAACUUAAAGGAAU